GACGAACGCUGGCGGCGUGCUUAACACAUGCAAGUCGAACGAAAAGAGGGAAAGAGCUUGCUCUUUCCGGAAUUGAGUGGCAAACGGGUGAGUAACACGUAAACAACCUGCCUUCAGGAUGGGGACAACAGACGGAAACGACUGCCAAUACCGAAUAAGUUCCAAGGGCCGCAUGGCCCAUGGAAGAAAAGGUGGCCUCUACCUGUAAGCUAUCGCCUGAUGUGGGGUUUGCGUCUGCUUAGCUGGUGGGAGGGGGAACGGCCCACCAAGGCGAGGAACAGGAGCCGGACGGAGAGGAUGGACGGCCAGACUGGAAGGGAGACACGGACCAUAGGCCUACGGGAGGCGGCAGGGGGGCAUCGUCCGCAAGGGGCGGAAGCCAGACGGAGCAACGCCGCGUGAGGGAGGACGGCCUUCGGGUUGUAGAACUCUGUGAUCCGGGACGAAAAGGCAGAGUGCGAAGAACAAGCUGCAUUGACGGUACCGGAAAAGCAAGCCACGGCUAACUACGUG
rnacentral:rRNA from 1 species